rnacentral:rRNA from 1 species
UAUGACCGCUGGCGGCAGGCCUAACACAUGCAAGUCGAGUCGAUAAAGGUCUUCGGACUGAUUAAAGCGGCGGACGGGUGAGUAACGCGUGGGAAUCUACCCAGUAGUGGGGGACAACAGUUGGAAACGACUGCUAAUACCGCAUACGCCCUAAGGGGGAAAGCAGGGGAUCUUCGGACCUUGUGCUAUUGGAUGAGCCCGCGUGAGAUUAGAUUGUUGGUGGGGUAAUGGCCUACCAAGUCGACGAUCUCUAGCUGGUCUGAGAGGAUGAUCAGCCACACUGGAACUGAGACACGGUCCAGACUCCUACGGGAGGCAGCAGUGGGGAAUAUUGCACAAUGGGCGAAAGCCUGAUGCAGCCAUGCCGCGUGUGUGAAGAAGGCUCUACGGUUGUAAAGCACUUUCAGCG